CCCUUAGAUGUUCUGGGCCGCACGCGUGCUACAAUGACGUUGUCAAAGUGAAUUCCGAACAGAGAUGUUUGGUUUAUCUCAUAAAAUCAUGACAUGACGGGGCUUGACGUUUGAAACUAUUUGUCACCAACGAGGAAUUCCUUGUAAGUUUCAGUCAUCAUCUGAAAUUGAAUACGUCCCUGCCCUUUGUACACACCGCCCGUCGCUCCUACCGAUUGAGUGGUCCGGUGAGGCUUUGGGAUCUGAGCGGAAAGAGCGUUUCGCUGUUUCUGCUCGGAAAACUCAGUCGAACCUUAUCAUUUAGAGGAAGGAGAAGUCGUAACA
rnacentral:rRNA from 1 species